AACUUUAUAUGAGGGGUUGCGUUCCACCCGCCAUAUAAAUACAGUUACAUGAUCAUGGCAAUAAUUAUUUCAAGAAUUAACUUGCUAUUCUCCCCUUUGAUAAUUCUCCCACCCAUCCACUGUGGGCUAGGGAUGGUAGGCUAGGGAUGCUAGGCUAGGGAUGGUAGGCUAAGGAUGCUAGGCUAGGGAUGCUAGGCUAGGGAUGCUAUGUUAGGGAUGCUAGGCUAGGGAUGGUAGAUAAGGAUGCUAGGUUACAGAUGCUAGGCUAGGGAUGCUAGGCUAGCAAUGCUAGGUUACGGAUGCUAGGUUACGGAUGCUAGGCUAGGGAUGGUAGGCUAGGGAUGGUAGGCUAGGGAUGCUAGGCUAGGGAUGGUAGAUAAGGAUGCUAGGCUAGGGAUGCUAGGCUAGGGAUGCUA